CUGUCACUGCCUGCCCUGGAAGCCGACCCUGCUGCCAGCGGGCUCGCACGAGGGGAAAGGGCACAGUCACUGCCAUGCCCGGCCAGGCCCAGGGGGUGGGCGCUUCCAGAGCAAAUACUUCUGUGAGUCACAAACAACACGCAGCCUCCCGGGCUCGCGGCUUCCAGUGAACGCGAGUAACCCACAGGAGCUGCAGCAGAGCAGAACAGAGCAGAGAGCUCCACACAAACUUUCCAGCUGCCUUUCCCAGAAGAGCCGCGCUCAGCCCCGAGCUCCCCCCGCCAGGGGAGCGCCUCGGCUGGGCUCGGCUGAGGGGGCGGGGGCUGGCAGAAGAGCCAGACAUCAAAGGUCGCUACUUGUUGCUUCAGAGCUGCGCCGCCCCCCGGAAAAAUCGUAUUCCGAGCACACUCCCUGCAAGAGAAACAAGCCGGUGAGGGGAUGAUUGGCAGUUUCCGAGGAUAAAGGGAUCUGAACUGUCAUCGCACGCUUAAACAUGCACAAACAGCGGGCUGAUUGAUGCGCGAGGCAUUACACUGACACCGUCUUGCGUAGGGACGGAGAUAAUUUGAUUGCAUGUGAAUAGGACUUCUAAUCGGGAUUUGAAUUUCCUAUGUUUUUCUCCUCCCGAUCCCACUUCCCUCCUCACUUUGCUAUCUCUUAGUCGUUGUUAUGCAUGUCUUUGUGUCUUCUCACCUCCCUAUUGUCCUCUCUUACACUCCUGUACAAUGUUUCUGCCUGUCUCUGUCUCCUGCUUCCUUUCUCAGGGCUGUCAACUCCUGGAAUUUUAUCUAAAGCUUGUCAAUAUCGACUGUCUUUUUUAAACCCCUCAGCCCUGGAGGCAUAUGAUUAUACCAGAAUUGCAGCUUUCAUUAUUACAAAAAUAGAUUUAUAGCCCCACCGUUUGGGAGCUGAGCAUGAAAAAUGUAAAUCCUAAGGGUUAAAAAAAGCCACAAAUAAACUCUACAUUUGUUAUUUAAAGAAA